rnacentral:rRNA from 1 species
CACACUAUCAUUAACUGAAUCCAUAGGUUAAUGAGGCGAACCGGGGGAACUGAAACAUCUAAGUACCCCGAGGAAAAGAAAUCAACCGAGAUUCCCCCAGUAGCGGCGAGCGAACGGGGAGCAGCCCAGAGCCUGAAUCAGUAUGUGUGUUAGUGGAAGCGUCUGGAAAGGCGCGCGAUACAGGGUGACAGCCCCGUACACAAAAAUGCACAUGCUGUGAGCUCGAUGAGUAGGGCGGGACACGUGGUAUCCUGUCUGAAUAUGGGGGGACCAUCCUCCAAGGCUAAAUACUCCUGACUGACCGAUAGUGAACCAGUACCGUGAGGGAAAGGCGAAAAGAACCCCGGCGAGGGGAGUGAAAAAGAACCUGAAACCGUGUACGUACAAGCAGUGGGAGCUCGCUUAGGCGUGUGACUGCGUACCUUUUGUAUAAUGGGUCAGCGACUUAUAUUCUGUAGCAAGGUUAACCGAAUAGGGGAGCCGAAGGGAAACCGAGUCUUAACUGGGCGUUAAGUUGCAGGGUAUAGACCCGAAACCCGGUGAUCUAGCCAUGGGCAGGUUGAAGGUUGGGUAACACUAACUGGAGGACCGAACCGACUAAUGUUGAAAAAUUAGCGGAUGACUUGUGGCUGGGGGUGAAAGGCCAAUCAAACCGGGAGAUAGCUGGUUCUCCCCGAAAGCUAUUUAGGUAGCGCCUCGUGAAUUCAUCUCCGGGGGUAGAGCACUGUUUCGGCAAGGGGGUCAUCCCGACUUACCAACCCGAUGCAAACUGCGAAUACCGGAGAAUGUUAUCACGGGAGACACACGGCGGGUGCUAACGUCCGUCGUGAAGAGGGAAACAACCCAGACCGCCAGCUAAGGUCCCAAAGUCAUGGUUAAGUGGGAAACGAUGUGGGAAGGCCCAGACAGCCAGGAUGUUGGCUUAGAAGCAGCCAUCAUUUAAAGAAAGCGUAAUAGCUCACUGGUCGAGUCGGCCUGCGCGGAAGAUGUAACGGGGCUAAACCAUGCACCGAAGCUGCGGCAGCGACGCUUAUGCGUUGUUGGGUAGGGGAGCGUUCUGUAAGCCUGCGAAGGUGUGCUGUGAGGCAUGCUGGAGGUAUCAGAAGUGCGAAUGCUGACAUAAGUAACGAUAAAGCGGGUGAAAAGCCCGCUCGCCGGAAGACCAAGGGUUCCUGUCCAACGUUAAUCGGGGCAGGGUGAGUCGACCCCUAAGGCGAGGCCGAAAGGCGUAGUCGAUGGGAAACAGGUUAAUAUUCCUGUACUUGGUGUUACUGCGAAGGGGGGACGGAGAAGGCUAUGUUGGCCGGGCGACGGUUGUCCCGGUUUAAGCGUGUAGGCUGGUUUUCCAGGCAAAUCCGGAAAAUCAAGGCUGAGGCGUGAUGACGAGGCACUACGGUGCUGAAGCAACAAAUGCCCUGCUUCCAGGAAAAGCCUCUAAGCAUCAGGUAACAUCAAAUCGUACCCCAAACCGACACAGGUGGUCAGGUAGAGAAUACCAAGGCGCUUGAGAGAACUCGGGUGAAGGAACUAGGCAAAAUGGUGCCGUAACUUCGGGAGAAGGCACGCUGAUAUGUAGGUGAAGUCCCUCGCGGAUGGAGCUGAAAUCAGUCGAAGAUACCAGCUGGCUGCAACUGUUUAUUAAAAACACAGCACUGUGCAAACACGAAAGUGGACGUAUACGGUGUGACGCCUGCCCGGUGCCGGAAGGUUAAUUGAUGGGGUUAGCGCAAGCGAAGCUCUUGAUCGAAGCCCCGGUAAACGGCGGCCGUAACUAUAACGGUCCUAAGGUAGCGAAAUUCCUUGUCGGGUAAGUUCCGACCUGCACGAAUGGCGUAAUGAUGGCCAGGCUGUCUCCACCCGAGACUCAGUGAAAUUGAACUCGCUGUGAAGAUGCAGUGUACCCGCGGCAAGACGGAAAGACCCCGUGAACCUUUACUAUAGCUUGACACUGAACAUUGAGCCUUGAUGUGUAGGAUAGGUGGGAGGCUUUGAAGUGUGGACGCCAGUCUGCAUGGAGCCGACCUUGAAAUACCACCCUUUAAUGUUUGAUGUUCUAACGUUGACCCGUAAUCCGGGUUGCGGACAGUGUCUGGUGGGUAGUUUGACUGGGGCGGUCUCCUCCUAAAGAGUAACGGAGGAGCACGAAGGUUGGCUAAUCCUGGUCGGACAUCAGGAGGUUAGUGCAAUGGCAUAAGCCAGCUUGACUGCGAGCGUGACGGCGCGAGCAGGUGCGAAAGCAGGUCAUAGUGAUCCGGUGGUUCUGAAUGGAAGGGCCAUCGCUCAACGGAUAAAAGGUACUCCGGGGAUAACAGGCUGAUACCGCCCAAGAGUUCAUAUCGACGGCGGUGUUUGGCACCUCGAUGUCGGCUCAUCACAUCCUGGGGCUGAAGUAGGUCCCAAGGGUAUGGCUGUUCGCCAUUUAAAGUGGUACGCGAGCUGGGUUUAGAACGUCGUGAGACAGUUCGGUCCCUAUCUGCCGUGGGCGCUGGAGAACUGAGGGGGGCUGCUCCUAGUACGAGAGGACCGGAGUGGACGCAUCACUGGUGUUCGGGUUGUCAUGCCAAUGGCACUGCCCGGUAGCUAAAUGCGGAAGAGAUAAGUGCUGAAAGCAUCUAAGCACGAAACUUGCCCCGAGAUGAGUUCUCCCUGACUCCUUGAGAGUCCUGAAGGAACGUUGAAGACGACGACGUUGAUAGGCCGGGUGUGUAAGCGCAGCGAUGCGUUGAGCUAACCGGUACUAAUGAACCGUGAGGCUUAACCUU